rnacentral:rRNA from 1 species
UACGUAGGGUGCGAGCGUUAAUCGGAAUUACUGGGCGUAAAGCGUGCGCAGGCGGUUCGUUAAGUUCGAUGUGAAAGCCCCGGGCUCAACCUGGGAAUUGCAUUGGAAACUGGCGGGCUUGAGUGUGGCAGAGGGGGGUGGAAUUCCCGGUGUAGUGGUGAAAUGCGUAGAGAUCGGGAGGAACACCCGUGGCGAAGGCGGCCAACUGGGCCGGACCUGACGCUGAGGCGCGAAGGCGUGGGGAGCGAACGGG